UGGGAAUCUUCGGCAAUGGACGAAAGUCUGACCGAGCAACGCCGCGUGAGUGAAGAAGGUUUUCGGAUCGUAAAACUCUGUUGUUAGAGAAGAACAAGGACGUUAGUAACUGAACGUCCCCUGACGGUAUCUAACCAGAAAGCCACGGCUAACUACGUGCCAGCAGCCGCGGUAAUACGUAGGUGGCAAGCGUUGUCCGGAUUUAUUGGGCGUAAAGCGAGCGCAGGCGGUUUCUUAAGUCUGAUGUGAAAGCCCCCGGCUCAACCGGGGAGGGUCAUUGGAAACUGGGAGACUUGAGUGCAGAAGAGGAGAGUGGAAUUCCAUGUGUAGCGGUGAAAUGCGUAGAUAUAUGGAGGAACACCAGUGGCGAAGGCGGCUCUCUGGUCUGUAACUGACGCUGAGGCUCGAAAGCGUGGGGAGCAAACAGG
rnacentral:rRNA from 1 species